rnacentral:tRNA from 1 species
GGUUCUGUAGUGUAGUGAUUAGCACGUCUGCUUUACAUGCAGAAGGUCUGGGGUUCAUGCUCCAGUGGAGCCA